AGGUUUCUUACUGCAAAACUCAUUUAAUGUCCCCUCCAUGUCUCUGGGGCGAACCCACUGUGAGCCUUUCCCCCCCCGACCCCAUUUGACAUGCGACUUCCGCAUUUGCAGUAGGACGGACCCGGCGGAUUAACAUCUUGAAACGACGAGCGCUCUUUGUGCUAAGCUAACGGAAUCGGAUUUAUGGAUCAAAACACAACUUUUCCUGCAAAUGCUUCGACGGGAUCGUGGGCGGACAUCUUCAUAAAAAUAGCCUGGGAAGACCACCAGCCCAGCCCACCGGCCUAAUCCCUUGUAUACACACACAGGAAGAUGCAGAACAUUUUGGACCAGGUUGUGAUGCAUCUACAGGCUUCAGGUCAUCUCACUGGGUUGAAUUGGCAGAUAAGAAUGAGUAAGAGACGUUAUUUUUUAAUAAUAUGACGCAAUGACUGUAUAUAAAUUUCACACUUUAUGCCUCUAGAAGAGUAAAAAGUACUGGUUGCAUGUUAAGACAAAACAGAGUGUCGAGGGAGAGGCAACUUCGCAAUGUUUCCAGUUUCUCUACAGAAAAAGAGACAAACAUUAAAAACAAGACAAAGAGUUUAGAUUCCAUCAAUUUUAUUUCAUUUAUAGACUUUCAAACAAACUUGUACAAAUUGCAAAACAGCUUUUGGUAACACCUCAUUGUUUUCUUAUCGUCAUUAAGAAAUAAAUUAAGUGAAUAAAAAGUAAACACUGUGAAGAGAGAACACAGAAAGAAGAACACCACAGAGCUAAAAGAAAUUAAAAAAAGAGAGAAAAGAAAGAGGCAACUGUUUUCUAAAAAAAAAAAGAAAGUCAACUGCAAAUCUCAAGUGCUUAACCGGGCUAAUCGCUGGUCGGCUGAGAAGACAACUGAAGUACCUCCAACAUUUUGUACUGGCAUAGUGAUGAAGAACCCAUCUUGAGCUGUCGAGUUUGAUUCAUCAGAUUUGUGUGAGUUUGCACUGUAAUGCUGUAUUUGCACACCAGGUGGGGUCACAAUCAUACAACCAAAUUCCCUGGUCCCGGCAGCCACUUCUAACUCCGCCGGUUUUUCAUAUUCCGUACCUGGACAAGUUGGGUGAUGGGGAUAGAGGGUGGCUGGUAUUUUUUCGCUAUAAAUCAAUGGGAGAAUAUGGGGAAAAUUAUCUUGAUGUGAACCAAUAAUAAUGACUGAUAAAUACACCAAGGAAAAUAUCUACCAGCUCUGUUUGAGAAGCGGCGUGUCUGUGUGUGGGUGUGGAUUUGGGAACCCGUAACAGAGUUGGGGGGGGUGGAUGCCCAGAGAGCGUUGUGUUCGUGUAGAGCGCGUCCACUGACAGCAGCAUCUGAUUCAGCCACUAUAUUUCAUUCAAGCCGGUCCCUUCACAUUCUUUGCUACUCAUAUAGUGUGGUGGACUUUUGCAACGGAGGGUGAAGUAUACGAAGUAGGCUUGUGCACAACAACCACAGGCUUUAAUGAGUUCGAACGGCUGAACUGGAAUUGGAGAGAUGUUAUUUGUGUCUACAGCUUUAGCACUGCCCGCAAACAUCAGUCUCAUUAAAAUACAUUGGAGGGAUUCUCUCUGCAUUUUGAGAGAUCAAGGCAAAACAAUAUUCAUUCUCCAUUUUGUUGUUGUCAAACUGAAAAUAAUUCCGCUGACUUGGUCACGUUGCCCCUCUACACAGAGGAGGCGUUUCCUCCCGUGACACGGAACCUCAGAAAACCUCAAAUGGCAUCGGAAGUAAAACCACCAAAUUGAUUAUUUGUUAAUAAUAUCAAAAAUACCAACAAACAGGCAAAAAAACAACAACCAAAAACAGAUUGGUCAGAGCAAAUUUAUGUACACAUACACAUUAAGAAAAGAGCUGUCAGUGGAGUUGGGGAGGGGG